rnacentral:tRNA from 1 species
GGUGAUAUAUUUUAAUAAAAAUGUUAUCUUGCAAAGAUAAAGAUGCUUAUGGCUAUCACUU